rnacentral:rRNA from 1 species
AAUGAACGCUGGCGGCGUGCCUAAUACAUGCAAGUCGAGCGAACGGACGAGAAGCUUGCUUCUCUGAUGUUAGCGGCGGACGAGUGAGUAACACGUGGAUAACCUACCUAUAAGACUGGGAUAACUUCGGGAAACCGGAGCUAAUACCGGAUAAUAUUUUGAACCGCAUGGUUCAAAAGUGAAAGACGGUCUUGCUGUCACUUAUAGAUGGAUCCGCGCUGCAUUAGCUAGUUGGUAAGGUAACGGCUUACCAAGGCAACGAUGCAUAGCCGACCUGAGAGGGUGAUCGGCCACACUGGAACUGAGACACGGUCCAGACUCCUACGGGAGGCAGCAGUAGGGAAUCUUCCGCAAUGGGCGAAAGCCUGACGGAGCAACGCCGCGUGAGUGAUGAAGGUCUUCGGAUCGUAAAACUCUGUUAUUAGGGAAGAACAUAUGUGUAAGUAACUGUGCACAUCUUGACGGUACCUAAUCAGAAAGCCACGGCUAACUACGUG